AUACGGAGGGUGCAAGCGUUACUCGGAAUCACUGGGCGUAAAGCGCGCGCAGGCGGGCUGUUAAGUUGGAUGUGAAAGCCUACGGCUCAACCGUAGAACUGCAUCCAAAACUGUCAGUCUAGAGUGUGGGAGAGGAAGAUGGAAUUAGUUGUGUAGGGGUAAAAUCCGUAGAGAUAACUAGGAAUACCAAAAGCGAAGGCAAUCUUCUGGAACACUACUGACGCUGAGGCGCGAAGGCGUGGAGAGCAAACAGGAUUAGAAACCCCUGUAGUCC
rnacentral:rRNA from 1 species